rnacentral:rRNA from 11 species
UCUGAAUACCAGACCACCUUGAACACACCUAUCUUCUCUAUGUCCAGAAGCUCACCAUUGUCAGGCCUGGUUAAUACUUGGAAAGAAGACUGCCAUGGAAUCCCAGGAAUCUUUAUGC